GAUGAACGCUGGCGGCGUGCCUAAUACAUGCAAGUCGAGCGAACAGACGAGGAGCUUGCUCCUCUGACGUUAGCGGCGGACGGGUGAGUAACCCGUGGAUAACCUACCUCUAAGACUGGGAUAACUUCGGGAAACCGGAGCUAAUACCGGCUCAUAUAUUGAACCGCAUGGUUCAAUAGUGAAAGACGGUUUUGCUGUCACUUAUAGAUGGAUCCGCGCCGCAUUAGCUAGUUGGUAAGGUAACGGCUUACCAAGGCAACGAUGCGUAGCCGACCUGAGAGGGUGAUCGGCCACACUGGAACUGAGACACGGUCCAGACUCCUACGGGAGGCAGCAGUAGGGAAUCUUCCGCAAUGGGCGAAAGCUUGACGGAGCAACGCCGCGUGAGUGAUGAAGGUCUUCGGAUCGUAAAACUCUGUUAGUAGGGAAGAACAAAUGUGUAAGUAACUAUGCACGUCUUGACGGUACCUAAUCAGAAAGCCACGGCUAACUACGUG
rnacentral:rRNA from 1 species